UCCUUUUAAUCCCGAACCCGACUUCUGCUCUGCGCGCCCGAUUCCUCUCUUCCCAGAUCUCCCCUCUGCUUGACGCGCUCUCUCUCGCGGACGACUCGAACACGACGGAACGGAGCUUCGACCUUCGGUGAUCGACAGUGUCACUUGAGGAGGAAGUCUUCGGAUCUCGACGAUACCGGCGGAGUCCAAGCCAUCUUCAGUAAUCGAUACCUAGGGCACGACUGAUCGCCUGCUUCUCGCCGGACCUUUUCUUCUUUCCUCGGCACCGCCGAUGUAGAUUUAUUCCCGGAGCCUCAAGGAUGAGCUAUCUUGUUCUUCUUUGAUUUCCCGCAAACCUCAGCGCCGAACCUUUCCUCGAUUCCUCCUCUUCCUCUUGUGGCGCUGUGCCCUAGCCGGAUCUUGGAGAGACGUUCGAUUGUUGAGGUAAUCUGGUGGGGGAGUCUUCUUCCGGCAGCAACCAUCUAUGGUUGAGGAUCAGCAGAAAGUGAACUGUUGAUUGCCUCUAAACCUUACGUGAGAAAGAUUCCAGCAGGGAAGUUUAGUUUUGUGGUGUUCUUUGGUCCCAUCAACUACUCUUUCAUGGUAGUAACGAUUCUGGAUUGGGGAUCAACAGAAGGGGCUGAGCUUGAGGUAUGUGUCGGGGUUUUGAUACAUGAUGUAGAUGAUUGUUAGAUAGGUUUAUGUGUUGAAUUAGGGAUAAAUUGGAUCACAUUGGUUAAUUGAAUUUAGAAUAGCACAUGUGUAGUUGAAUUUAGAUCAUGGUGUAAUCUGAUCAUUUAGUAGUUAAUUGUGCGGACAAGUUGUUUUGUUUACAGUUUUUUUUUCUUUUCUCUAUUUUUGAGUAAUUUAUUUCUGCUCGAGAAAUUUGUACUUUGACACUUUUAUUACUUGUAAGUUGUAUCCAUGUUCUCUUUUAUAUAAUGCUCAGUUAGAUUAACAUAGGGACAUUGCAACUAAUAUAUCUAUAUAUUCUGGAACUCUAUAAAAUCAAUUACUGGUGCUUCGUUGUUACAUUGCACUAUCCUUGCAGUUAAGAUUGGGAGGCCAGGGUAUAGGGUCUCAAAGCAAUUUGAUCCAGAGACAAAACAAUGGUCUCUUCUGUUUCAGGUUUCACCUAGCACUUUUAUAAUAUUUUGAUUAAUAUAUCUGAUAUUAUGAUUUCAAUUUGCACACAUUAUGAUUUCAUUGACUCAUGCCCAUCAAGUGUUUGAUUAAAUUUCUCUUCCAUUGUAUAGGUUUUAGUUGAUACAAUUUCUUUAGUUUAAUUCCAAGUAAUGCUUGUUAGUUUAGUGAUUUAUGUUCCUAUGAUGUUUGUUCUUUAUUUGAAUGUAAUUAGUUUAGGUUUUGUCACAUGCUCUAGUUUAUGUUCCUAUGAUGUUUGUUGGAUUCUCUAAGGCACCGCAUUCAUGAUGAGGAUUGGAAAUAUAUAGUGGAAAUGGCCUUAAGAUUGUUUAAUUCAAACAAGGGAAGGAAAGGUAGAAAAAAGGCUAUGUGGGAAGUAGUAAAGGUAUGUGUAAUUAUAUAUAACAAUCUUCCUUCAUGUGUAUGUUGAUCAUUAAUAAUUUGUAUCUUAUUACCAUAGGCUCCUCAACAACAAGAAGCAACUUCUUGCUUCUUUGGAAUCCAUUAUCAGCUAAGCUUGUUAGUUUUUUCCUGCACUCUCAUAUUUUCAAUGGAUUGGCCAUGGACAUUGUAUCUCUUAGUUCUGUUUCGUGGAAGGUUUCUGACAAAUUGAAUUUCCAGAUACAGUAGCUUUUAUCUCUCAGAUUAUUGCAGCUUCGAUACAGGAAUACCUGUCCAUUUGCUGACUAUUUCUGCUGUCACAGCCAACCCUUUGUUUCAAAGUAUUUUGAUGUUAUUGAUCCUUCAAGGACGAACAACAAUCUUUGACAAAGUUUCAGAACAAGUAAGCGAUUGAUGGUUUGGAUGUCAAUGAGUGGAACGGUAGAAGGGUCGUCUCUGAACCCAAAUGCCCUACACUCUGUUCUGCAGCAGUUGCGGGAGUCAGUGCAAGCAUUGUUGGAACACUUCCAUCAGUGGAGGCAACAAGAGAUGGCUGGCAAAGACUUGUUUGAGACUGCCUCUGUGGAGGCUUUAGUCAUGAAGCUGAGCACCAAAUCUCCGAAAAAAGGCGUGAGGCCGGGUAAAUAUCGUGAAAAACCUGUCCAAUGCGUAAGGCCAAAGUGUACUCCUCGCCGCAUCAUUCUUCGAGGCCGACUAGCUAUUUUGUGCUUUUUUUGUUUUAAAUUCGAAUGUCACUAUACUUUGAAACA